rnacentral:rRNA from 1 species
GCAGUCUAUGUCAUACUUCCAAGAAAAGCUCGCAAUGUCAUAAACAAAUAAUGCCUGUACCAUAACCGACACAGGUGGGUAGGUAGAGUAUACUAAGGGGCGCGAGAUAACUCUCUCUAAGGAACUCGGCAAAAUGACUCCGUAACUUCGGGAGAAGGAGUGCCUUAUUUAUAAGGUUGCAAUAACAAGAUCCAAGCAACUGUUUAUCAAAAACACAGGUCUCCGCUAAGUCGUAAGACGAUGUAUGGGGGCUGACGCCUGCCCAGUGCCAGAAGGUUAAAGAAGUUGGUUAGCAUUCGCGAAGCUGAUAACUGAAGCCCUGGUGAACGGCGGCCGUAACUAUAACGGUCCUAAGGUAGCGAAAUUCCUUGUCGGGUAAGUUCCGACCCGCACGAAAGGCGUAAUGAUUUGGAUACUGUCUCGGAGAGGGGCUCGGUGAAAUAGACUUGUCUGUGAAGAUGCGGACUACCUGCACCUGGACAGAAAGACCCUAUGAAGCUUUACUGUAACUUGAAAUUGAAAUUGGACUUUAUUUGCGCAGCAUAGGUGGGAGGCGUUGAGAGUAUUCUUGCGGGAAUAUUGGAGCCAUCAGUGAGAUACCACUCUUGUAAUGUUAGAUUUCUAACUUUGGAUCAUUAUCUGGUCAAAGAACAGUUUCAGGCGGGCAGUUUGACUGGGGCGGUCGCCUCCCAAAUGGUAACGGAGGCGUACAAAGGUUUCCUCUGAACGGGUAGAAAUCGUAUCUAGAGUGUAAAGGCAUAAGGAAGCUUGACUGUGAGACCUACAAGUCGAGCAGGGACGAAAGUCGGUCUUAGUGAUCUGACGGUGCUGAGUGGAAAGGCCGUCACUCAACGGAUAAAAGUUACUCUAGGAUAACAGGCUGAUCUCCCCCAAGAGUUCACAUCGACGGGGAGGUUUGGCACCUCGAUGUCGGCUCAUCGCAUCCUGGGGCGGUAGUACGUCCCAAGGGUUGGGCUGUUCGCCCAUGAAAGCGGUACGCGAGCUGGGUUCAGAACGUCGUGAGACAGUUCGGUCCAUAUCCGGUGUAGGCGUUAGAAUAUUGAGAGGAGCCUUUUUUAGUACGAGAGGACCGAGAAGGACAUACCUCUGGUGUACCAGUUAUCGUGCCAACGGUAAACGCUGGGUAGCUAUGUAUGGAGAGGAUAACCGCUGAAAGCAUCUAAGUGGGAAGCCCACCUCAAGAUAAGUAUUCUC